AGAAGGGGGGGUUGGAAUUAUAGUUUGUAUUAUCAUUAUCAUUAUUAACACAAUCAUUAAGCAUAAUCUUUGGGAAAUUAUACGGAUUCGCAUAACCACACAUAGGUUACUCUUCUGUCUCACCACGCGAGCAAUCUGUAUUAAUCCUUUAUCCAAACGACAACAAAAGUAACACGCUCUUCUCCCACGCUUCCAGCACGCCACGAGAAACCAGCAGUGUGUGAAGUAGCUAGUCAUGGUCCGUAGACUUCAACGACAAAAAUGUUCGGUGCACAACACAACACAAUAUGAGGGAAAGAAAACUGAAACGGUGAUGGAUCGGGAAUGUCAGAAAAUGGCAACUGAAAAACCUCACCCAUGAAUCUGGUUUACUAUUACCCCCAUGGACAUAAAGAAAGACGAAGAGUGUGUUAAUAUUAAUAAGAGCAGAGUUACAUAUGCUUUGCGGAGUGAGGUGGUGUGUGGCUCCUUUUGACUUGUAUAGCACAAUCCCUGCCGCCUUCGUCCCCUGUCGCCUGUCCCGAGCAAGGCAAACGAAGUUUUUCGGUGAAGGAAGCAAGUGUUUCAGCUUCACGCCGUGUUAACAGCGGAGAGAGAGAGAGAGAGAGAGAGAGAGAGAGAGAGAGAGAGAGAGAGAGAGAGAGAGAGUCAGGGUGUCAGUAUCUAAGAGGAUCAGAAUGUGUACCCUUGAAGUUAGCAAUAUCGGUGGCGUCUGCCUCACACACACACACACACACACACACAGCAUGCGAGAGGCCUUGUGACGGAAAACCAGCUAGCGAGAACUGGCACAUCCUGGAGGCGGGGGCUUGCGGGGCCUAGUAGUGCCUAGAUGAACAUACCGGGGCCUGGCGGGGCUGGUGCCGUCAAUAGCCCCAACAGGAGUGGCAGUGAGCAGGCUUGCGUGUCCCAGCAGUGGAGCAGUGAACGCUCAGGGACGUGUGCCUGUGGGAGUGUGGCUGUACCUGCAGUGACGCUGACCAGUGGGCGUUGAUGGCAGGCCAGUGGCACACGCAGCUGGUGAGGGGCGGCGGAGUGCCAGGACCAGGGGAGGACUGCGCAAACCUCCUCCCGCCACGACGCUGAUUCGCUACUGACAACAUCCUCCCGCUGCUGGUGGUCUAGACUCCCGCCUUCGAUCCUUCCACCAGUACCACCACCAUCAUCAGCCUGCUGCUCGUCCCUCCUUACUAUACGAUGGUGGUGGCGGUGGUGGUAGUGGCGGGCCGUGAUUAUGAUGAUGAUGGUGGUGAUGACAAUGAGAUACGAAAUACAUAGAUAAUGAAUAAACAUUGCUUUUUU